AUUGAACGCUGGCGGCAGGCCUAACACAUGCAAGUCGAGCGGAUGAAGGGAGCCUGCUCCUGGAUUCAGCGGCGGACGGGUGAGUAAUGCCUAGGAAUCUGCCUGGUAGUGGGGGAUAACGUCCGGAAACGGGCGCUAAUACCGCAUACGUCCUGAGGGAGAAAGUGGGGGAUCUUCGGACCUCACGCUAUCAGAUGAGCCUAGGUCGGAUUAGCUAGUUGGUGGGGUAAAGGCCUACCAAGGCGACGAUCCGUAACUGGUCUGAGAGGAUGAUCAGUCACACUGGAACUGAGACGCGGUCCAGACUCCUACGGGAGGCAGCAGUGGGGAAUAUUGGACAAUGGGCGAAAGCCUGAUCCAGCCAUGCCGCGUGUGUGAAGAAGGUCUUCGGAUUGUAAAGCACUUUAAGUUGGGAGGAAGGGCAGUAAGUUAAUACCUUGCUGUUUUGACGUUACCAACAGAAUAAGCACCGGCUAACUUCGUG
rnacentral:rRNA from 1 species